UACGAAGGGCGCUAGCGUUGUUCGGAAUCACUGGGCGUAAAGCGCACGUAGGCGGAUGUGUCAGUCAGGGGUGAAAUCCCGGAGCUCAACUCCAGAACUGCCUUUGAUACUGGGAGUCUUGAGUUCGGGAGAGGUGAGUGGAACUGCGAGUGUAGAGGUGAAAUUCGUAGAUAUUCGCAAGAACACCAGUGGCGAAGGCGGCUCACUGGCCCGAUACUGACGCUGAGGUGCGAAAGCGUGGGGAGCAAACAGG
rnacentral:rRNA from 1 species